rnacentral:rRNA from 1 species
AUUGAACGCUGGCGGCAGGCCUAACACAUGCAAGUCGAGCGGGGGUAGCAAUACCCUAGCGGCGAACGGGUGAGGAAUGCUUGGGAAUCUGCCUCGUAGUGGGGGAUAACGUUCCGAAAGGAACGCUAAUACCGCAUACGUCCUACGGGAGAAAGGGGGGGAUCUUCGGACCUCUCGCUAUGAGAUGAGCCCAAGCGGGAUUAGCUAGUUGGUGAGGUAAAGGCUCACCAAGGCUACGAUCCCUAGCUGGUCUGAGAGGAUGAUCAGCCACACUGGAACUGAGACACGGUCCAGACUCCUACGGGAGGCAGCAGUGGGGAAUAUUGGACAAUGGGCGAAAGCCUGAUCCAGCCAUGCCGCGUGUGUGAAGAAGGCCUCGG